CACUUGUUCUUUAAAUGUGGACUAGUAUGAAUGGCACCACGAAGGUUAUACUGUCUCCUUUUUCUAAUCAGUGAAACUAAUCUCCCCGUGAAGAAGCGGGGAUAAAACUAUAAGACGAGAAGACCCUAUGGAGCUUUAAACAACAUAGCACUUGCCACACACCAUUAAAAUUCCAGAAUCUUUAAUUCUCUGAGCAAUAUGACUAUAAGUUUUUGGUUGGGGUGACCGCGGAGCAUAACACAACCUCCAUGUUGAAAGAAUCAUCUUCUAAGCUAAGAACUUCAACUCUAAGCAUCAACAUAUUGACAUCCAUUGACCCAAUACACUUGAACAACGAACCAAGUUACCCUAGGGAUAACAGCGCAAUCCACUUCAAGAGCUCCUAUCGACAAGUGGGUUUACGACCUCGAUGUUGGAUCAGGGUUUCCCAGUGGUGCAGCCGCUACUAAAGGUUCGUUUGUUCAACGAUUAAAA
rnacentral:rRNA from 1 species